GACGAACGCUGGCGGCGUGCUUAACACAUGCAAGUCGAACGAAGUGGCGAACGGGUGAGUAACGCGUAAUCAACCUGCCCUUCAGAGGGGGACAACAGUUGGAAACGACUGCUAAUACCGCAUACUGAAGGAGGGGAUUGCGUCUGAUUAGCUAGUUGGAGGGGUAACGGCCCACCAAGGCGAUGAUCAGUAGCCGGGCUGGGAGGGUGAACGGCCACAUUUGGACUGGGACACGGCCCAGAAUCCUUCGGGAGGCAGCAGUUGGGAAUCUUCCGCAAUGGGCGGCAGUCCGACGGAGCAACGCCGCGUGAGUGAUGACAGCCUUCGGGUUGGAAAGCUCUGUUAAUCGGGGCGCGGUACCGAAAUAGAAAGCCACGGCUAACUACGUGCCAGCCGCCGCGGUAAUUC
rnacentral:rRNA from 1 species